AAGCACCAUUUGAAAAUGGAAAUAUUUUUUCUAGUAAAAUCAGUGUAUGUAUGUAUUUGCAAAACAGUAAAUUAAAUUUCCCUUAACAGCUUAAUGAACAUUACAAAGACUAUGUAAGACUUCAGUACAAGCAAGAUAAUAUAAACUGUUGCUUAAAAUUAUAUUUAUUGCUUCAUACACACAAUGUACAUACAAUGUAUCUUUUAUUUUUUAAGAGGAGCUAAAAGAAAAGCCACAAAGGACAAGUUCAAAAUGCAGGUUUACAAUUUGGAAGUGGCGCAGGUUAUUUGGAAUGUCUACAACCUUUCAGGAGGAUUUUUUUUUGAAAAGCAUGGCACAGCAAGAAAAAGAUAUAAGACACUACAAGACAUUCCAAGUGAUUUUGAAUAAGACAAUUGAUUGACUUUUUCAAUGUAUUCUUAAAUAAAUCAAAUAGUUGAUGUAAAA